CCGGCCGUAGUUCAGCAGGGCAGAACGGCGGACUACUAAUCCGCAUGGCAUGGGUUCAAAUCCCAUCGGCCGGACCA
rnacentral:tRNA from 1 species